CCUACGGGAGGCAGCAGUGGGGAAUAUUGCACAAUGGGCGAAAGCCUGAUGCAGCGACGCCGCGUGAGGGAUGACGGCCUUCGGGUUGUAAACCUCUUUCAGCAGGGAAGAAGCGAAAGUGACGGUACCUGCAGAAGAAGCGCCGGCUAACUACGUGCCAGCAGCCGCGGUAAUACGUAGGGCGCAAGCGUUGUCCGGAAUUAUUGGGCGUAAAGAGCUCGUAGGCGGCUUGUCACGUCGGUUGUGAAAGCCCGGGGCUUAACCCCGGGUCUGCAGUCGAUACGGGCAGGCUAGAGUGUGGUAGGGGAGAUCGGAAUUCCUGGUGUAGCGGUGAAAUGCGCAGAUAUCAGGAGGAACACCGGUGGCGAAGGCGGAUCUCUGGGCCAUUACUGACGCUGAGGAGCGAAAGCGUGGGGAGCGAACAGGAUUAGGUACCCUGGUAGUCCACGCCGUAAACGGUGGGAACUAGGUGUUGGCGACAUUCCACGUCGUCGGUGCCGCNGCUACGCAUACGUCCCGUCCGUCGGGAGGUACGGCCGCGACGGACGUAAACGUUAAAGUAAGUAGACGGUCGUGUAGACGUUAGUCGACGGACGACGACGAGGGAGGAGG
rnacentral:rRNA from 1 species